AUGAUCGCUUCGGCAGUAUGUAUACUAAAAUUGGAAUGAUACAGAGACUAGCAUGGCCCCUGCGCAAAAAUGAUAUGCAAAUUCAUGAACAUUAAAAUGGGCAG